rnacentral:rRNA from 1 species
CCUACGGGAGGCAGCAGUGAGGAAUAUUGGUCAAUGGACGAGAGUCUGAACCAGCCAAGUAGCGUGAAGGAUGACUGCCCUAUGGGUUGUAAACUUCUUUUAUAUGGGAAUAAAAUGUUCCACGUGUGGGAUUUUGUAUGUACCCUAUGAAUAAGGAUCGGCUAACUCCGUGCCAGCAGCCGCGGUAAUACGGAGGAUCCGAGCGUUAUCCGGAUUUAUUGGGUUUAAAGGGAGCGUAGGUGGAUGGUUAAGUCAGUUGUGAAAGUUUGCGGCUCAACCGUAAAAUUGCAGUUGAAACUGGCAGUCUGGAGUACAGUAGAGGUGGGCGGAAUUCGUGGUGUAGCGGUGAAAUGCUUAGAUAUCACGAAGAACUCCGAUUGCGAAGGCAGCUCACUGGACUGCAACUGACACUGAGGCUCGAAAGUGUGGGUAUCAAACAGGAUUAGAUACCCCAGUAGUC